rnacentral:rRNA from 1 species
UACGGAGGGUGCAAGCGUUAUCCGGAAUCACUGGGUUUAAAGGGUGCGUAGGCGGCAAGAUAAGUCAGUCGUGAAAGAUUAUCGCUUAACGAUGAAACUGCGAUUGAUACUGUCUAGCUUGAAUAUGGAUGAGGUAUGCGGAAUGUGGCAUGUAGCGGUGAAAUGCAUAGAUAUGCCAUAGAACACCGAUUGCGAAGGCAGCAUACUGGACCAUUAUUGACGCUGAGGCACGAAAGCGUGGGGAUCAAACAGG